rnacentral:rRNA from 1 species
GACGAACGCUGGCGGCGUGCUUAACACAUGCAAGUCGAACGGAAAGGCCCUGCGUUUGUGGGGUGCUCGAGUGGCGAACGGGUGAGUAACACGUGAGUAACCUGCCCUUGACUUUGGGAUAACUUCAGGAAACUGGGGCUAAUACCGGAUAGGAGCUCCUGCAGCAUGGUGGGGGUUGGAAAGUUUCGGCGGUUGGGGAUGGACUAGCGGCUUAUCAGCUUGAUGGGGGGGUAGUGGCUUACCAAGGCUUUGACGGGUAGCCGGCCUGAGAGGGUGACCGGCCACAUUGGGACUGCGAUACGGCCCAGACUCCUACGGGCGGCAGCAGUGGGGAAUCUUGCACAAUGGGCGGAAGCCUGAUGCAGCAACGCCGCGUGCGGGAUGACGGCCUUCGGGUUGUAAACCGCUUUCGCCUGUGACGAAGCGUGAGUGACGGUAAUGGGUCAAGAAGCACCGGCUAACUACGUG